rnacentral:rRNA from 1 species
AAAUUGAAGAGUUUGAUCAUGGCUCAGAUUGAACGCUGGCGGCAGGCCUAACACAUGCAAGUCGAACGGUAACAGGAAGCAGCUUGCUGCUUCGCUGACGAGUGGCGGACGGGUGAGUAAUGUCUGGGAAGCUGCCUGAUGGAGGGGGAUAACUACUGGAAACGGUAGCUAAUACCGCAUAACGUCGCAAGACCAAAGAGGGGGACCUUCGGGCCUCUUGCCAUCGGAUGUGCCCAGAUGGGAUUAGCUUGUUGGUGGGGUAACGGCUCACCAAGGCGACGAUCCCUAGCUGGUCUGAGAGGAUGACCAGCCACACUGGAACUGAGACACGGUCCAGACUCCUACGGGAGGCAGCAGUGGGGAAUAUUGCACAAUGGGCGCAAGCCUGAUGCAGCCAUGCCGCGUGUAUGAAGAAGGCCUUCGGGUUGUAAAGUACUUUCAGCGGGGAGGAAGGGAGUAAAGUUAAUACCUUUGCUCAUUGACGUUACCCGCAGAAGAAGCACCGGCUAACUCCGUGCCAGCAGCCGCGGUAAUACGGAGGGUGCAAGCGUUAAUCGGAAUUACUGGGCGUAAAGCGCACGCAGGCGGUUUGUUAAGUCAGAUGUGAAAUCCCCGGGCUCAACCUGGGAACUGCAUCUGAUACUGGCAAGCUUGAGUCUCGUAGAGGGGGUAGAAUUCCAGGUGUAGCGGUGAAAUGCGUAGAGAUCUGGAGGAAUACCGGUGGCGAAGGCGGCCCCCUGGACGAAGACUGACGCUCAGGUGCGAAAGCGUGGGGAGCAAACAGGAUUAGAUACCCUGGUAGUCCACGCCGUAAACGAUGUCGACUUGGAGGUUGUGCCCUUGAGGCGUGGCUUCCGGAGCUAACGCGUUAAGUCGACCGCCUGGGGAGUACGGCCGCAAGGUUAAAACUCAAAUGAAUUGACGGGGCCCGCACAAGCGGUGGAGCAUGUGGUUUAAUUCGAUGCAACGCGAAGAACCUUACCUGGUCUUGACAUCCACGGAAGUUUUCAGAGAUGAGAAUGUGCCUUCGGGAACCGUGAGACAGGUGCUGCAUGGCUGUCGUCAGCUCGUGUUGUGAAAUGUUGGGUUAAGUCCCGCAACGAGCGCAACCCUUAUCCUUUGUUGCCAGCGGUCCGGCCGGGAACUCAAAGGAGACUGCCAGUGAUAAACUGGAGGAAGGUGGGGAUGACGUCAAGUCAUCAUGGCCCUUACGACCAGGGCUACACACGUGCUACAAUGGCGCAUACAAAGAGAAGCGACCUCGCGAGAGCAAGCGGACCUCAUAAAGUGCGUCGUAGUCCGGAUUGGAGUCUGCAACUCGACUCCAUGAAGUCGGAAUCGCUAGUAAUCGUGGAUCAGAAUGCCACGGUGAAUACGUUCCCGGGCCUUGUACACACCGCCCGUCACACCAUGGGAGUGGGUUGCAAAAGAAGUAGGUAGCUUAACCUUCGGGAGGGCGCUUACCACUUUGUGAUUCAUGACUGGGGUGAAGUCGUAACAAGGUAACCGUAGGGGAACCUGCGGUUGGAUCACCUCCUUA